GCACAAGCGGUGGAGCAUGUGGUUUAAUUCGAUGAUACGCGAGGAACCUUACCUGGGCUCGAACGUAAGAUGACUGUAGGUGAAAGCUUACAUCUCUUCGGAGCAUUUUACGAGGUGCUGCAUGGUUGUCGUCAGCUCGUGUCGUGAGAUGUUGGGUUAAGUCCCGUAACGAGCGCAACCCUUGUCCUUAGUUACCAGCACGUUAUGGUGGGCACUCUAAGGAGACUGCCGGUGACAACGGAGGCAGGUGGGAUGACGUCAAGUCAUCAUGGCCCUUACGGCCUGGGCUACACACGUGCUACAAUGGUCGGUACAAAGGGUUGCCAAGCCGCGAGGUGGAGCUAAUCCCAUAAAACCGAUCGUAGUCCGGAUCGCAGUCUGCAACUCGACUGCGUGAAGUCGGAAUCGCUAGUAAUCGUGAAUCAGAAUGUCACGGUGAAUACGUUCCCGGGCCUU
rnacentral:rRNA from 1 species